CUACGGGUUGCAGCAGUGAGGAAUAUUGCACAAUGGGGGGAACCCUGAUGCAGCAACGCCGCGUGGAGGAUGACGCAUUUCGGUGUGUAAACUCCUUUUAUAUGUCAAGAAAAUGACGGUAGCAUAUGAAUAAGCACCGGCUAACUCCGUGCCAGCAGCCGCGGUAAUACGGAGGGUGCAAGCGUUACUCGGAAUCACUGGGCGUAAAGGACGCGUAGGCGGGUUGGAAAGUCAGGUGUGAAAUCCUACAGCUUAACUGUAGAACUGCACUUGAAACUUCUAAUCUAGAGUAUGGGAGGGGGAGAUGGAAUUAGUGGUGUAGGGGUAAAAUCCGUAGAUAUCACUAGGAAUACCUAAAGCGAAGGCGAUCUCCUGGAACAUUACUGACGCUAAGGCGUGAAAGUGUGGGAGCAAACAGGAUUAGAUACCCGUGUAGUC
rnacentral:rRNA from 1 species